ACUCAAAUGAAUAGACGGGGGCCCGCACAAGCGGCGGAGCAUGCGGAUUAAUUCGAUGCAACGCGAAGAACCUUACCAAGGCUUGACAUGGACCGGACCGCUGCAGAGAUGCAGUUUCCCUUCGGGGUCGGUUCACAGGUGGUGCAUGGUUGUCGUCAGCUCGUGUCGUGAGAUGUUGGGUUAAGUCCCGCAACGAGCGCAACCCCUAUCCUAUGUUGCCAGCACGUUAUGGUGGGGACUCAUGGGAGACUGCCGGGGUCAACUCGGAGGAAGGUGGGGACGACGUCAAAUCAUCAUGCCCCUUAUGUCUUGGGCUUCACGCAUGCUACAAUGGCCGGUACAAUGGGUUGCGAUACUGUGAGGUGGAGCUAAUCCCUAAAAGCCGGUCUCAGUUCGGAUCGAAGUCUGCAACUCGACUUCGUGAAGUUGGAGUCGCUAGUAAUCGCAGAUCAGCAACGCUGCGGUGAAUACGUUCCCGGGCCUUGUACACACCGCCCGU
rnacentral:rRNA from 1 species